GACGAACCGUCCAAACGUUAUUCGGAAUCACUGGGCUUACAGAGUUCGUAGGCGGUCCGGUAAGUCCGCUCUGAAAGUCCGGGGCUCAACCCCGGGAGGCGGGCGGAUACUGUCGGGCUAGAGUCCGGAAGAGGCGAGUGGAAUUCCUGGUGUAGCGGUGAAAUGCGCAGAUAUCAGGAGGAACACCAAUGGCGAAGGCAGCUCGCUGGGACGGUACUGACGCUGAGGCGCGAAAGCGUGGGGAGCAAACAGG
rnacentral:rRNA from 1 species